rnacentral:rRNA from 1 species
GAUGAACGCGGGCGGCGUGCCUAAUACAUGCAAGUAGAACGCUGAAGCUUGGUGCUUGCACCGAGCGGAGGAGUUGCGAACGGGUGAGUAACGCGUAGGUAACCUGCCUCUUAGCGGGGGAUAACUAUUGGAAACGAUAGCUAAUACCGCAUAAAAGUCGAUAUCGCAUGAUAUUGAUUUGAAAGGUGCAAAUGCAUCACUAAGAGAUGGACCUGCGUUGUAUUAGCUAGUUGGUGAGGUAACGGCUCACCAAGGCGACGAUACAUAGCCGACCUGAGAGGGUGAUCGGCCACACUGGGACUGAGACACGGCCCAGACUCCUACGGGAGGCAGCAGUAGGGAAUCUUCGGCAAUGGACGGAAGUCUGACCGAGCAACGCCGCGUGAGUGAAGAAGGUUUUCGGAUCGUAAAGCUCUGUUGUAAGAGAAGAACGAGUGUGAGAGUGGAAAGUUCACACUGUGACGGUAACUUACCAGAAAGGGACGGCUAACUACGUGCCAGCAGCCGCGGUAAUACGUAGGUCCCGAGCGUUAUCCGGAUUUAUUGGGCGUAAAGCGAGCGCAGGCGGUUAGAUAAGUCUGAAGUUAAAGGCUGUGGCUUAACCAUAGUACGCUUUGGAAACUGUUUAACUUGAGUGCAGAAGGGGAGAGUGGAAUUCCAUGUGUAGCGGUGAAAUGCGUAGAUAUAUGGAGGAACACCGGUGGCGAAAGCGGCUCUCUGGUCUGUAACUGACGCUGAGGCUCGAAAGCGUGGGGAGCAAACAGG